UUGAAAAAGAAGAGAGUAAUUAAGAAAGUCUUAUUACUAUAUUUACAUCAUUAGAAAUGUUUUAUAUUCUCAAUUUUGGACAUUUACAUGAUUUAGAAAUUUUUGUAAAGUUCAUUAUAUUAUAGUGUUUGGAGCUCAAAUCGUGGUUGAGUAUUGAUUUUGUAAGAUUUGGAUGGUGAAAAUUAGAUUAGAAAUGUACCUCCACCAUUGUUGAACAAGCGUAAAGAAGUGGAUUUGAAUUGUGGAUCUAACUUGUGUGAAAAAUUUGAAGUUGGUGUUGUUUAGAUUUGUUGGAAAUUGUUGGAGAAAAAAAAUAUAUGCGAGUUUAAACUGAUAGCUACAUGGAUGCACUGUGUUAUGUUAGGCUGUAUAUUUAUGCAAAUUUCCCUUUUUGAAAACCUGGACUAUUGAUCCAUAGAGUCCAUUUCUUCCAUAGCUUAUGCUCUUUCGAAGCGUUUACGUAAUCUUGCCUCUUUCGUGUUAUAUUGCUCGAGUGAGUUAUUUUGUUUUAUGUUUAACAUUCUAUGCCUCCCUGACAUUCAAAGGGUCUGGUAUUCCUUUGAAUAAUAUGCGAGUGGGUGCAGAUAUAUGAUGCAGAAAUGCUCUUAAAGGUUCCUUUUUCAGGUCUUAUAUUGAAGCGUCCUCACAGACGCAUACCUAUACAUGAAGAUAGUAGAUUAGCGCUUAAAGAGACUAAGGAGGAGGCCAUGGUUAUUCAAUAUUCACCAGAAAAAGAUGAAACACAACUUCACCGUCUUCAUCAAACAGCGCAAUACUUCACCAAAAGCUGCAUUUUGUUCUGAUUUGUGUAUCUAUGAAGGCGUUUCAGGCUUUUCUUUCACAUCUCAAGAGUUAUAAUUGGUGUAGAGAUAUGUUCAAGAUUACAUUUUAAAUUAGACUCAUGUUUGCUUAAAGUUGGUGUGUGUUGGUAGUUGCCACCUAUGUUCCCUAAUCAUCGCUUCAACCUCUAUGAACUAUUUUUCACA